rnacentral:lncRNA from 1 species
GGAAUAUUUUACUUUUUUAAAAAUUGUUUUUAUAAUCUGGUGUGUGAUCCACUUACAGUACAUCUCAGUUCAACUAGCUAUGUUUCAACUGUUCAGCAGCUACAUGUGACCAGUGGUUACCAAAUUGAACAAUGUGACUCCAAAACUAUGUUGCCCUGCCUGUUUCUUAGACAUCCCUCCUACCAUUCUCACUCUAAGUCCUACAUCUUUAUCUAUCCUGGCCUUUUCAAGAUUCUUGAGUAUGCCAAACUUUUUCCCUUAAAAAUGUUCCUUCUUCCUGGAGCACUCAGUCAUAUUUCUCUCCAGUAAUCACUCCUUCAGAGAUGGCUUUCAUUGACUACUGAUUACCCUGCUUUCUUUAUAGAACCUGUCAUCUGAAAUAAUUAUUUGAUUUUUGUCUAUUCCCUGUUCAAUUGUAAAUUACUAGAGGACAUGUUUACCACUAAAUAAUCAUGUAUUAAAAAUACAAAUUUUAAUUCAAGUACAGAAUGGUUCAUGCCUGUAAUCUCAGCAACUUGGGAUGCUGAGGCAGGAAGAUCACAAAUUCGAGGCCAGCCUCAGCAAUUUAGCAAGAAUCUGUCUCCUUAAAAAUAAAAGGGACUGGAAGUGUAACUCAGUAGUAGAGCCUUCCUCUUCCCCCCCUC